rnacentral:rRNA from 1 species
AUUGAACGCUGGCGGCGUGCUUAACACAUGCAAGUCGAUCGGUAACGCGGGGGCAACCCUGGCGACGAGAGGCGGACGGGUGAGGAACGCUUGGGAAUCUGCCCUUCGGCGGGGGACAACCCGGGGAAACUCGGGCUAAUACCGCAUACGCUCCACGGAGGAAAGCCGGGGACCGCAAGGCCUGGCACUGAAGGAUGAGCCCAAGUCGGAUUAGCUAGUUGGCGGGGUAACGGCCCACCACGGUGACGAUCCGUAGCUGGUCUGAGAGGACGAUCAGCCACACUGGGACUGGGACACGGCCCAGACUCCUACGGGAGGCAGCAGUGGGGAAUAUUGGACAAUGGGGGAAACCCUGAUCCAGCGACGCCGCGUGGGUGAAGAAGGCCUGCGGGUUGUAAAGCCCUUUCGGUAGGGACGAAAGCUCUCGACCUAACACGUCGGGAGGUUGACUUAACCUACAAAAGAAGCACCGGCUAACUCUGUGCCAGCCGCCGCCGUAAUAC